GGGGAUGUUUGAACGGAAUGUGUCCCUUCGUCUACAAAACUCUGCACGCUGCGGCAUCGAAGUCCUGUGUACGGGUGCACGUAUGCGCUUGGAUACGGGAUAGCCUGCCCUCAACGGAUGUUCAACAGUGUACGCACGCUGCGCGUACGCGUACGUAUGAGACUAGUUGCUGGUGUCCUGCUGGAGCUGAGAAGAGAUCUGCUGCCUGCCAUGAGACCAUGUCUCUCAAGUUACCGCAAUAUUGUUGCCUUCAAAGGGAGACGGCUCUCACAACUGGAGAAGCCUGGGAAGCAUGCAGUACUCCACAAAACCAGUUUCAACGUAAAAUGUGUCUGCAUCUCAUAAUUUCAUGGCUGCAAGAGUGAGCCCAAUGCCUGUCGAGACAAGGUUUCUGUACAUGGCCAUGGCGCUCAAGGAAGAAACCGAGACUGUAGACUACCAACGUUCAUUCCUGUUCCGGCAAAGACGGGCCAGCAGUGACCAGCAGGAUUUUACAAAGUGAACUCAUCACAGCUUGAGCCACUCCAUGCCACAAGCAGUUGCUCCUCGAGCCACCGUGCAAAGGUUCCUUGGGGCACAAGUCCAACUCGGCGCCACAACCUUUCUUCUGCAGUUUUUCUACCUACUUAGCUAACCAGCAGCAAGUUUAUCCUUGCAAGGCAUGUGGGAACAGCUUUCACCAGGAAAAGUACAAGACGAGUGGUCGAAGAAAAUAAAAUUGCUUCUGUGAUCUAAAGUACUUGACGAAU